GAUGAACGCUGGCUACAGGCUUAACACAUGCAAGUCGAGGGGAAACGACGGGGAAGCUUGCUUCCCCGGGCGUCGACCGGCGCACGGGUGAGUAACGCGUAUCCAACCUGCCUCUGACUGAGGGAUAACCCGUCGAAAGUCGGCCUAAUACCUCAUGGUAUCGUCUGCGGGCAUCCAACGACGAUUAAAGAUUUCAUCGGUCAGGGAGGGGGAUGCGUCUGAUUAGCUUGUUGGCGGGGUAACGGCCCACCAAGGCUACGAUCAGUAGGGGUUCUGAGAGGAAGGUCCCCCACAUUGGAACUGAGACACGGUCCAAACUCCUACGGGAGGCAGCAGUGAGGAAUAUUGGUCACUGGGCGAGGGCCUGAACCAGCCAAGUAGCGUGCAGGAAGACGGCCCUAUGGGUUGUAAACUGCUUUUAUGCGGGGAUAAAGUGAGGGACGUGUCCCUCAUUGCAGGUACCGCAUGAAUAAGGACCGGCUAAUUCCGUG
rnacentral:rRNA from 1 species